UUGGUGACUUUUGAGUGAAAUCCAAUGGCUAAAACGAUGCAAUACAAUAACCACUCCAUUUCAGAACGAACUUCGUACGAACCUGAAUUUUCCAAUUUCGUGGACCAAUCGAUACCGGAUUGAGUCCAAAACUUGGGGAACACCAUAAUACGAUGGGAGCAGUCAUUUGGUGACUUUUGAGUGAAAUCCAAUGGCUAAAACUGUGCAAUACAGUAACCA
rnacentral:lncRNA from 1 species